ensembl:lncRNA novel transcript
AGACGCCCGGGGCCCCCAACGGCCAGCACGGUCCGAAUCGACCCCAAGCUUGACCCGAGGGCAGCGGGGCCUCCGGGAAUGCCUGGCCAGGGCGGUGUCGCCGGGAGUGAAUGGGGGAGGGGGCGGCCGGGGCAGGACCCGGGUCAGGGCCACUCUGGUAGUCUCCUGCCCACCCCUCCCCAAGCCGAGCUCCCGGCCUCCCUCCCUCUCCCCCGUCCAGGGCUGAGGACUGGGGAAGCUGAGUCCCGGGACGGGUAUGGGGGGGUUGGGGCUUGGGAUGCAGCCGGACCUCCGGGAACAGCAGGGGGCCCUGGAGCCACCAGGAGGGAGAAGGCCCCGUCCCUGAGCCAGGCUCGCAGGAUGUUUAUCCCAGGAAAUCCAGAGGAUCAGAACCAGGCAGGACCCGGCACUGGGACGGAGGCAGCUGUCUGCGGGGCGUUUACCGUAGAUACGUAUCACCUGUUCUGAGACAGAGC